GUGUCAGCAGCCGCGGUAAUACGGAGGUGGCAAGCGUUGUUCGGAAUUACUGGGCGUAAAGGGCGCGUAGGCGGCGGAACAAGUCAGAUGUGAAAGCCCCGGGCUUAACUCGGGAAUUGCAUCUGAAACUGUUUUGCUUGAGUCCUGGAGGGGAUGGUGGAAUUCCCAGUGUAGCGGUGAAAUGCGUAGAUAUUGGGAGGAACACCUGCGGCGAAGGCGGCCAUCUGGACAGUGACUGACGCUGAGGCGCGAAAGCUAGGGGAGCGAACGGGAUUAGAUACCCCGGUAGUCCUAGCCGUAAACGAUGGGCACUUGGUGUUGGGGGUAUUGAGUCCCUCGGUGCCGGAGCUAACGCGAUAAGUGCCCCGCCUGGGGAGUACGGUCGCAAGACUGAA
rnacentral:rRNA from 1 species